rnacentral:rRNA from 1 species
GGGUGCGAUCAUACCAGCAAAAAAGUACCGGAUUCCAUCAGAAUUCCGCAGUUAAACGUGCUUGGGCGAGAUUGGUACUUGUUGAUAUGUCACAUAUGAUUUCUAUCA